AAGACUAUAGACCUGCGGAGUACCUGCGGAAGGAUCAUUACAUGGCGGAGGAGGUGGGCACCUAGUAAAACAAAACCCUAGGUGUGUUGCCUACCACGCUUUCUACCCUUGUCUAUUUGCACCUUUUGUCGUUCCCUCGGUGGGUCUUGAACCUGCCGGCGGCAACUUUCAAAAACCUUUUGUAGUUAGUAUCUAAUUCUUCUGAUCAAAUAUUCAAUCGUUACAACUUUUAGCAAUGGA
rnacentral:misc_RNA from 1 species